rnacentral:rRNA from 1 species
GCGACCCCAGGUCAGUUGGGUUUCCCCAGGUUU